GGCGGCGUGCCUAAUACAUGCAAGUCGAGCGCAGGAAGCAAGGGAUCACCCUUCGGGGUGUGAACUUGUGGAAUGAGCGGCGGACGGGUGAGUAACACGUGGGCAACCUACCUUGUAGACUGGGAUAACUCCGGGAAACCGGAGCUAAUACGGGAUGAUCAUUUGAAUCGCAUGAUUGAAAUGUAAAAGUGGGGAGUAAUCCUCACACUAUGAGAUGGGCCCGCGGCGCAUUAGCUAGUUGGUAAGGUAAUGGCUUACCAAGGCAACGAUGCGUAGCCGACCUGAGAGGGUGAUCGGCCACACUGGAACUGAGACACGGUCCAGACUCCGUACGGGAGGCAGCAGGUAGGGAAUCAUCCGACAAGUGGGACGAAAGCCUGACGGUGCAACGCCGCGUGAACGAUGAAGGUUUUUCGGAUCGUAAAGUUCUGUUAUGAGGGAAGAACAAGUGCCGUUCGAAUAGGGCGGCACCUUGACGGUACCUCACGAGAAAGCCCCGGCUAACUACGUG
rnacentral:rRNA from 1 species